rnacentral:tRNA from 1 species
GCGCGGUUAGCUCAGGGGUAGAGCACUACCUUGACACGGUAGGGGUCACUGGUUCAAAUCCAGUAUCGCGCACCA